AAGACUAUACUUUCAGGGAUCAUUUCUAUAGUAUGUGACUAGAGAGGUUUCUCUGAUCAUGCAGAGUUAGUGCAAAGUCAUGAGGAGGAGUCAAGUGUCCUCUCCUGAGCAUGAAGCCAGCUCUAGGUGUCACUUCUGUGACUGCCUCUUGCCAUUGAUGAUCUUUUUCCCUUUCCUCUGGAAGGGGUAGAGGGAGAGGAUGCAGUCUGAGUGGU